UUUGUCUGGCUCAGAUGAACGUUGGCAGCGUGGAUAGGCAUGCAAGUCGAGCGACAAGCCUCCUCGGGGAGGUGGAGGAGCGGCUAACGGGGUAGUAAUGCAUCGGAACGUACCUUUUCGUCUGGGUAGCCACGGGAAACUGUGAGUAAUACCGGAUAAUAUCUUCGGAUCAAAGGUUUACUGCGAAAGGAGCGGCCGAUGUGAGACUAGAUAGUUGGUGGGGUAAUGGCCUACCAAGUCUAAGAUCUCUAGGGGGUGUGAGAGCAUGGCCCCCACCACUGGAACUGAGACACUGUCCAGACACCUACGGGUGGCUGCAGUCGAGAAUCUUCGGCAAUGGGCGAAAGCCUGACCGAGCGACGCUGCGUGCGGGAUGAAGGCCCUUGGGCUGUAAACCGCUGUCAGAGGGGAUCAAAGGAAACUUGAGAGAGCCUCAGAGGAAGCGCGGGCUAAGUUCGUGCCAGCAGCCGCGGUAAUACGAACUGCGCAAACGUUAUUCGGAAUCACUGGGCUUACAGGGUGCGUAGGCGGUCCACCAGGUCAGAUGUGAAAUCCCACAGCUCAACUGUGGAACUGCAUUUGAAACCGGCGGGCUUGAGUAGACUAGAGG
rnacentral:rRNA from 1 species